AUAGCCAGUGCCUCCACCCAGACAGAGUUGCUGAAGGGAUGGGCUGUAGUGAGGACCUCACGCUGCAGGAAGUGCCCAGACCUUCCACAUGAGGAAGGGACAAGCAGCAGAGCUUCCUUCAACAACUGUGCCCAGGUGGAGGACCUCCUGCAGCAGGUGACUGAACUUCAGGAGGUGGUGAGGAGGGUGUGUAAUAUCAGGAACGGUGAGGAGUAAGAUAGCUGGUUCCAAAUAUAUUUUGCAGCAGACCCACUACUCAUGGCCAAGCAACCCUCCCAGACAAAGGGAGGAGGAAAAGACCAACUGAAGCUAAAGAAUCAAGAAAUGGCUGCAGUACUGAUGUUACACACAGGGGUUCGGCUAAUGAGACCAUCGGACUCACUUUGAGAAUGGUGGUCUACUGGGCUAUGAUGGGGUCAAUCCCCAGAGGGGGGUGAGGCGAAGAGCAUAUUCAGGCACAGGCUUGCCAGGCUUAUGGCUUUACAUUAAAGUUUCCAGUGGAAGGAAGACUCAAGCUAUCCCGCUUCUACCAACUUGAUGCCAGUAUCAGCAAAAGAUGUUCAGAGCCUGGAGGAGGAUAACAAGUCAGCAGGAGAGCACCUGAAGAGGGAAGUAAAAAGAAACUCCACCCACUUCAGCCACUUAGUCAUCUUAAUAGGGGUUCUUCCUUUAAAAGUCCCUAUGCAAAUGUAGCAUGAGGAAUAAGCAAGUUGACCUGCAGAGCUAUGAUUAUAUAGGCUUUGCAGAGACAUGGUGGGCUGUCCAUUAUGAAAGCUGUGUUGGAAUGGAAGUAUACAGGCUCUUCAGGAAGGAUACAGAAUUCUUACGAAGGACAAACAGGGCAGAGGAGAAGUAGGUGUUACUCUUUAUGGCAAUGACUAGCUGGAAUGCUGCUUGGGGUUCAAUGAGGAGCCAACAGAGAGUUUAUGGGUCAAGAUUGGAAGGAGGGCAGGGCCAGGUGACAUCACAGUGGAGGUCUGCUUCAGAUCUCAAGACCAGGAUGACAGGGUGGUUUGCAGGGAAACCUGAUAGUAAUCUUCCAGUACAUAAAAGGGACCUACAAGAAAGGGAGAGAGAGAAUGUUUAUAAGGAUAUGUAGUGAAAGGACAAGGACUAAUGGCUUUAAAUUGAGAGAGGGUAGAUUUAGAUAGAUAUAAAAACUAUGUACUAAGAGGUUGGUGAGGAAGUGUUCAAGGCUAGGUUGGAUCAGGUUUUAAGCACCCUAGUCCAGUUAGUGGAAGGUGCUACUGCUUAUAGCACAAGUUUAUAACUGGAUGAUCUUUAAGUUCCCUACCAACUCAGACCAUUCUAUGAUUCUGUGAUUUGAUGAUUCUGUGAUUUUAAGAUAGUGAAGAGUUAUUUUCAAGGAAAGUAAAAAUAACUGUGCCUUUUUCUUUCUGAUUAUUAUUCAACAUAUAAAAUAAUAAUACUAAUAAGAAAAUUAUAAAAGCUUGUGAUCUGAUGUUAUUAGACUAACUUAUAUUGUUUUAGUUUUAGGAAAAAAAAAAGAUUCCAUAUUAAGAAGGACAAAAACAGUCAAACAAAUGC
ensembl:lncRNA